rnacentral:pre_miRNA from 2 species
ACAUACCAAAGGAGUAAACAUCAUCUACAAGCUGGUUUAGAUCACAAAGAUCUAAACCCUAGCUUUCUCUCACUAACACAUAGUCUCUCUCUCUCUGGAAUUCACACAGAAGGAUGAACGAGUGGGAGAGAUGCACCAAGCUACAAGAGUUGCACACAGCUUUCUCUCUCUAGAAUUCACACUCGUUCAUCCUUCUGUGUGAAUUCUAGAGAGAGAGAGACUAUGUGUUAGUGAGAGAAAGCUAGGGUUUAGAUCUUUGUGAUCUAAACCAGCUUGUAGAUGAUGUUUACUCCUUUGGUAUGU